GUUUUUUUUUUUUUUUUUUUUUUUUUUAAUUAUUCCUUCAUAUUCAAACUUCACAAACAGUGUGAACUUGUACAAUACCUCGGAAAGUGAAACUUACAAAAAAAGUGCUGGUAACAUUUAAAAAAAAACAACAAAAAACCCAAAAAAACAAACAUCAUUCUUAGCAACAUCAAUUACUCUUCCACACAAAACAGAAACCUUGUAAAAUUUAUUUCCGUAUUUUUAAGGCGUAAUACUUCCGUAUAAAGUAUAUGCAAGAGAUAAAACUUCACAGUAUUCCAAAAUGUCACAAUAAUAAUAAUAAUAUAAUAGUAUAAUGAAGCGCUACAGUUAAUUUUUCUUUUUUUUUUUUUUGUUUUUUUCCUGUUUAAAUAACAAAUACAAGUCACAGGUAAAUAUAUGUGAGAAAAAUACGAGGCUAAUAUUAAAUGGCAGGUAAGGAUACUGUCACUGUAAGAAAAAACUGGCAGGAUGUGUGUAUUUAUUCUAUAUUUUAAAGCACUUGAUAGAAAAGGCGUAUGCAAGGUUUUUUUUUUUUUAAAAAAAUUUGCUGUUUGUUUGUUUGUUUGUUUUGAUAACUGACAACCAUUUAAGAGUAUAAUGAGAGAAAAAAAAAGGAACAAACUCCCCCUCAAAACUAUUGACCUUCUCAUCCCAAACCACGUACAUAAUUAUGGAUGGAUGGAUGUGUUUAUGUGUUGUUUGUGUACAUGUGUAUAUGAGUACACCAGUACACGGACUAGAAAAAGCAGUCUUCCUUCCCUUUCCUUGCCUUGAUACAAUGACCCGAGAAGGCCACCGAAGUUCCUCUUGAAAGCUCUCAGCAGCUAAAUUUCUCUUGAGAUUCUUUCCCAAAGUUCAAUUCCAUCUCCUGCCUGAAAAGACAGAGGCUGGUUGGAAUAAUUGCCCUCAGUUCGAAAUAUGCUCUGGGAAUGAAAACUGCAAAAAUACUGACACCCACUCAGACACUGAAUAUACCACUGGGAUGUGUAUGUGAAGGUGGAUGGGUGCAAAACAAUUUUCUAUUUUGCACAAGACAUACAAAUGGGUCUCAGUGUGCAUAAUGGUGUAUGUGUGUGUGUGUGUGUGUGUGUGUGUGUGUGUAUACAGUAGUAAUUGCUAUAAAAGGAACCAUAUUCCUUUCCAUAAUAAGAUACAGUGUGAUAAGAAACAUUUCUGUGCAGGGAAUGGGAUUUCUUCGAAUCCUAUCACAAUGCAGUGGUGGGGAAAAUCAGGAAACAGGUUCACCUUUCAGCAGUUACCACAGUAAACUUCAUAAUGGACACACAUGCUCGGCCCUUUGGCCUGAGCACGCAUAUGUGAAGAGCCAGCCACUCAGCCAACAGGUAACAGAAAGACAGCAGAUAGUGUAACACGUCAGUAAGGUGCUCAAAGAAAAAUGUGGCACCCACUCCUGGAAUGGAUGGCCACGUUAAGGUGCUUCAAAAAGUAUUUUUUUUCACUUUUCAUUUCAAACAUUAAAAGAGUAUUGGUUUGCACGUGGUAGUUCUGAGCCAGGCCAAGAGUUUUGAGAUUUCUGACAUCUUCCAUAGAGAAGGGCUUUCACUGUAAUUGUUUUUCUUUCUUUUUUGUUUUUUGUUUUUGUUGUUUUUGUGUUUUGUCUAGAUUUACCUUUUAUUUUUCCCCCUUAAAUAAUCAAAAUUUUUUAAAAAAUUAAAUAAAAAAUGACAGAAAGUGAGAACUGAUGAAAAGGUAUAGAACUUUACUGCAUUCCCAUUGGACCAAGAUGGUUUCGCCCAUUCUUUCCAUAAUGCUGUUCCUUUUUUUUCUUUCUUUUUCCAUUACAAUCCAUUCUUUGUGAACAUACAGAAAUGACCAAAGUCACUGCAAGUGGCUGGUUUUGUGUGUGUGUAUGUGUGUGUGUGUGUAUGUGUGUGAGAUCUAUUUCAAGAGUCCAACCUCGUUUCCUCUACUGCUGUUUGUGUAAUAUCUGGUCUGAAAUGUGCAUAUGGACAUAUAUGCACCAAUAAACACGUAUGUAUGUGCAACAUAUACACACUAUAUAUGUGGGUCUAUGGAGAAAGUGUGUACAUAUUUAUACAUAAUAUAGUGUAUGCAUUAUUUGAACUGGAGAUAAACUGAACUGGGUUCAGACAUGAGCACACAUUUCUCUUCUCUUCCCCUCCCUCUCCCCCUUCCCUGUGUAUUUUAAACAGUCUGGAAGUUUUUUGUUUGUUUGUUUAAAGUGCAUUAAACACAAAAUAACUGGAAUCCAUCGAUCCCUUAGAAAACAGUUUGGGUGUGACAUUCUGACAGGCCUAAGCCCCCAUGCAGGAGAGGCUGGUGUUUUCCAGUGCCAGUGGCAGAGGUGGCAGUGUCAGGCUUGUGCCCCGGGGCGGGCUGUCGAUGGGCAAUCUGGACUCCUCAAAUCUAGCAGCACCUUUGCAGAAAGACUGAGAAAGGAGGGAGGAGAGGACAGGUGAGGAGGAAAAGGUGAUUUUUCUUGUAGGUUCUGUUUAGGAAGCUUAGCUUUUAUUUUGAAAAUGGGUCUACAUUCUCCUCUCAGUUACAGCUAACAAAUCUUCCUCCACCUUCCCUAGAUGAUGCUGUUCUCCCUAUGGCCUUGCACAUUCUCUGUCCCUCACAUGCUCUUUCUCGAGGCUUUCUGUGUGUUCUUUCCCCAUAUAUAUGUGAGUGCCAGCAUCUGUGAGGAAUAAGGCACCAGAGAAAUCAAAAUGUUACAAAAAGAUGCAAAACCCCAUUUCAUGGAGCCUCUCUCAUAUUGCAUUGAUACCAUUGUGUGUGUGUGUGUGUGUGUGUGUGUGUGUGUGUGUGUGUAUCUUAAAUGUGUUAAUUGCAGUCUCCAAAAAGAAACAGGUCCUUCAGCACCAAAGACCAUUAGAAGUGCAGCCUAAAUGCAGACACAGACACAGACACACCCCACAAUGCACCACUCAGGGAGUAUGUGGCUGCUUGCCACUGCUCACCUUUCCCCCCCCCCCUCCCCGCCCCGUAAAAUGCUAAGAUUCUCUGAAACUGAAAUUUCAAAACUACCUCUAAGGCUGGCAUGUUAUUUGUUCACUGGUGACCAGAAAUGCCCAAAGGGACUGAAUUAUCUAUUGUGUGUGGUCAAAAGAAUGUGGCUCAUUAAUCUCUUCUUCCACCUUGGAAGCUAAAGAUGCUCAGAGUUAGGAUUUUGUUUUGCACCAACAUAAUAUUAUCAAGAGACAGUACUUCUGGGUCUAGAGAUUGCUGGGAUGGAUUAGAAAAGUCAAAGUUAUGACUCUAAAGAUGAAUAAUUGUAUAUAUGUCUUGUGGAAACAGAGGGACAGGCAAGAGAAGGUCUGCUUUGCCAAGGGGUGAGUGUUCCAUCAUUCCCCUUUCCUUUACAGCAGAGGGAAUUUGGAAAUUGGAGGGAAUCAGUUGGCUCUCCCUGUGGAUAAUACUGAGAUCAACACUUCAAUGGAUUGUCUAGGAUAUCUCUACUUACACUUUUUCAAUUGCAGGACAGUCUUAAUGUCAUGCCAAUUUUCACAAAGAAGGAAAUCAUCCUUAUUCCCUGAAUUAUUAACAUCAGUUAUUAACUGGAUACCCUACUCUCAAUACAUGGACUCUAAUUCAAGAAAAGAGAGUGAAACACUUGGGUAAAGUUAUGUCAAUCAAGUAGAUAAGAAAAUCUGGCAAGUGCAGAAGGUAAAAAGGAACUGAUUUAUAUCAUGGGGAACAAUACAUUAAGAUGAAUAUGAUUCCCUAGACUAAGAGCCUAGAAAAAUUAUUGCAACUUUUUUUCAUUGGACUACUACAAUAGGCAGGCCUUAAAAUAGUUGAUACUAAGUGAAUAGAAAUAUGAAAGAAAUAGAAAAAAAUCCAACAUGGAAUAAAUUUUUAGAUGCUACAUUGCCAGUUUACUGAAGCAUAAUUGUUUGGAGAAGGCCACAAAUUUUUAUGGAAACUGUCUAUGGUAUAAUUUCACAAUGACCAAAGUUGUACCACAGGGUGCUAUUAAGUGAUUCAAAGGAAGAAAGAGAACCAGAAAAAAAAAAAACCAAAAAUAAAAAACAACCAGUAAAAAUGUAAGGACUAAUGUGUAGAACAGAUAUGUCUUUGCAGAAGAGGGAGUCUGUGUGUGACAAUAGAGCAAUGGACUAAAUAAAAAUCCUUCUCAAAUAAUCCCAAAGCCUAGGACUAACAUGUGAACUGAACUAGAUCCUCUGUUUUAUAUAUUUCAGGGAGGAAGAAGUUAGUCUAGCUAUAUAAAGGGAAAAAAAAAGAAGGCACAUGAUUUUAUUUAGUCCUAAGAGAGGUCCAAGACUAUUAAGCAAAAGCAUAAAUAAGGGGGUGUGUGUGUGUGUGUGUGUGUGUGUGUGUGUGCAUGCACUCAUAGGGGGUUUAGAAUAUUGUGAAAAGUGCUCUUUGGAGAAGUCACCCAAUUGGAAUAGUGAAAAGAAGAGAAUAAAAAUGAAUGUUUAGAAGGAGAAAAAGGAGAGAGGGGAAAAUGAAGGCCACUCUUCAGCUUUCUCUCAGUUUGACAGGCUCAAGAUUUGGCUGCUUUUGGGUCCAGAAUAAAAUUGAUUUAUCUUAAUCUAGAAAGUGUCCCAGUUAAAUAUCUCCAGUUUGUUGUGUUACAGUUCUUAAUAUUCCCUUUUUCUCUUCCCUCCAUCCAGAUGACUUCUGAAAAUAUCACAGUUUUACUCUUUUUUUUAAAAAAAAAAAAAUACUUUUUCAAAGUUGAAAAAAAUAUGGAAAAGCUAUCAAAAACAACCUCAAAGCUCUCCACCUUCACAGUGAAUAAGUUAACUGACAAUCCACAGAGCCAGCCAAAGAUCUUUUUAAUCUCUUGGCCUUGCCAUGUCCAUCAGUGAUCAGAGAAGGUGACCAUCCUCCAGAGAGGAAUUCCCUUGUAUUUUCCCUCAUUCCCUCUUUUCAUUGUACUGGUCUUGUUCUCUCAUCUCAGGCUGUCCCCGUCCAAGGAAUGUGGAAAAGACCAGAGAGUGGAAGCAAAACCUUCUUGGAGAUUAAUGAUAAUUGAAGGGUACUGGAAACAGCUACGGAGGGAUGAGGCUCAUGGAUGGCUUCACUGGUGAACUUUUUUUUAGAGAGGAAGAUAUGGUUUGUGCCCUGAGUAACUGAGAUUCCAUUUACAUAUUUUAUGAGAUCUCAACCCUCAGAACCACCAAUGUUUUGAGUUACUUGGAUAUAUUAUUAUCUCUCAAUAGCGGUAGAAUAUCUUUCCCCAUUAUCUGGUAUUCUCUGUGUGGAAUGAUGCAUGGUAAGGUGGAGAGGUGAGGGUGUAUUAUACCAAAAAAAAAAAAAAAAAAUAGAGCUACAGACAAGAGAAUUUCAAAAACAAUUUUGCCUUUGGUUUUUUUCAACUUUUUUUUUUUUUUCCAAACUAUGAAAUGUUAAAGCCAAGAUCAUGCUUCUCCACUCUCAAUCCCUCCCACCUAGUGUUGAUGCUUCUGUCCUCUGACAACUGUUGUAGUUCUCUCAUUUGGCAAGGCUAAGGUGGGGGGAAGAGAAAAAGGGGUUGCAACAAUUAGUUGAAGACACAGGGUGGUAAAAUGCUUCCACACUUAAACUCACAGUCCAGUGUUUUUGACAUUUCAUAAAUAGCUUUUAAAAAAAAAAGAAUAAAACAAGAACAAUCCCUUUACUUACUCAUCUGAAACAAAGUAAACAGCAGUGGGUACAAACUUCUUCUUGUAACAAUUACAAAAAACAACAAUAUAAUCCCAACUUUAACACGCAUCUUGAAUCAGUUUUUUUUUAAACCUCAAAACUGCAGCAUAUCCUUAAGGGCAAACUUUUCGAUUAAGUUUUUUUUUUCUUUUUUUUUUUAAAUAAUGUCUUCACCAAAAAAACAGUCUUGUACCAAUAAAAUGCAUUCAAAAAUAGAAAAUAUCACACAACAAAAAUAUGUAUCCUUCCUUUCCAAAAAAGAUUCUUCACAAAAAAAUGUAGAAAAAAUCCCAACAAUUUUUUUUCCUUUCCUAAACAUUAACCUUUCAGUCUAGGGCACAAUUAUUUAUUGAUUUAAAUGUCUGUUUUUGCAUAAAACAUGGAAGAUGCAAAACAAUUACUGUAUCAGGAUUGUGAAAUUACAUCCACUCACACCCCAACCCUUAAAAAAAUCAGCAAACAUUAAGCAAAUGAAAGCCAACAGGCUAAGAAAAAUCCUAGUGUGAUACAGAAAUUUCACCUUUCUGGUAUCAAUUAUAAUUACCUUCUUUUUUGCUAUUCAUUUAAAUGGCAUUAACUGGCUCAAUUGGCACCACAUGGCCAUAAAGAAGGGAGAUCAAGUGGUUUCCAAUUCAUUCUCCAGCACUGGCAGAUACUGACCCAGUGAUUAUUUUAUGAUGACGGCUUCCUUCCCAUGCUAAAGUUUGAAGUCACUACCAAUUGGAAACCACUUGUAAGGGAGAAGUAGGAAGCUAAAAAAGUCAGGCAGGAGUACAAAGAAGGGAAGGUGUAUGUGCACUGUUUUCUUGAAAAUACCAAAAUAUAAAGAUUGAAUGAAGAGACUCAAUGGCUCUAUCCUUCCCCCUUCCCUCCAUCACAAUUAAUUCUGAAGGCAACUGAAUCCAGGCUCUGCUAGUUUUCUUUUUCUUUCUUGUCACUGACAAUUGUUUCUUCUUUCAUUUAUUUAAUGAUUUUUUAAAAUUUUAAUGUGAGAGAGUAUUUUGGAUGUGUUCAAUACAAAGAUGGGAUUUCUCUUAGCCUGUUUUUCUGUUGCUUAUUAGGUUGCUGUUUUUUCAAAUCUCAUUUUACUGUUGUUUUGUUUUGCUUUUCAAACAGUGAAGUGCGUCCAAUUUUAUUUCCAGUGCAUUUAAAAAAUUAAUAAAAAACAAUAUAUUUUCCCCAUCCUUCUAAAGGAAAUGACUGAUAAAAGUACAAUACAAUAAAAAUCGGGCAUUGUCAACAACACAACGUGCAACCUCAUGAACAUCAAAGAAAAACAAAACAAACAAACCAGGAUAAUUGGAUACAAGCGUGAAUGUGCUGAAAACAAUAAAAUACUAACUGAUAAGCAUUGGUUAGGACAUAGGUAAGGCUACUAUUAGAUUUCUAACUUAACAUGAUUAGCCACUGCUUUUCUUGCCUUUUCCUUCAACUCUAUCUUUUACUCACUAGUUUUUUAAAAAUAUCUUGAAUCUGAAACAAAUUUUGUCUUCAUAUUUUUUGGUCUACAGUAGAAUUACAUAUUAACAAAACAAAAAUGAUAUUUAAGUAAUAGGUUAGUACAGUAUCCAUAAGAAAAAAGAUACUACUAAAACAGACAUAAAAUGUAAUCUACUAAAAAAAUAAACAAAUAUAGUAAAAAUCAUAAUCAGGGCAAUAGAGUAAACUGAAAGAAAAAGAUGUGAAAAAGAUGCUUUUGGAUAAUAUAAACUCCUGACAUACUAAGCCUUAGGACCGCAGCAUCCAAUAACAAUGCAUAAUUACUUAGGGUUCAAAUGGAUUCACCUCCUAAUAGCAUCAUUCCAAUUCAACUGGGGAACAUGAGGCAAGAUCAUACAAAAUGGACAGGCAGUUUGGUCUAUCGAAAACUUCCAGGUUAUCUUAAAAAGGUCAAGGCCACCUGGACACAAGUAUACAAGAAAACUGGUUAGUCAAAGGGAGAUACAGAUGGCACCUGUCUCAGUUUCUGGAGGACUUUCCAGCCCACUCCUCAAGAGAAACCCAAAAAAUUAUUUGGGAAAGCAUGUAAGACUACCUCCCCUAAUUUGCAGUGGAGGUGGAAUUAGGGAGGGGAGUGAAAAGAAGGAAAGAAGCAGACACACUUUUGGCACCCCAACACUUGUUUGCUUCAACAUGCUGGUUUCCUACUGCCUGUACACAUCUUUCACAGUGUCACCUAAAGAACCAUUUACUCCCUUUCUGAGCAAAAACAUCAAAAAUAUUCAUGGAGUUAAAAUAGAACACAUUGGCAGUGGCUCACUAUUGGAUUCCCGAGGUGCUAGGCAGUGACACUGCCCACAAGUGGGAAUAAAAUAAUCCCAUAGUUUAGGCAAUAAGUGAAUUCCCUAUUAACCGUUAACUAUUCCUGGCUGAUGAUGAGUUCACUGUGACUUUUCAGUGUGAGGGAGAAGCAACAGUGAAAGAGGACCAAAGUGUGUUUCUCUUUCCAGGAAAGAAGGGGGAAAAAAAUCAGUGGCAUCAGUUAUCAAUACUCCUUUUGGCUUCUUAUUCUCACAUCAAAUUAUCCUUGGUUUUUCUCUCACUCACUUACUCUACAGGUAACACAUUUUAGAAUCUAGUGCAAAUGUUAUCUAAUCACAGCUUUCCAGGAGCAGUAGACUACAUCCUCAUCUAGCCUGAGGCCAUCCUCUCAAACCUCUGUAAAGAACAGAGGCUAAACAGUCCAAAUUAGUAUAAGCAAACAAAGUUACAAAGCUAGCAUUCACCACAACAGGAAAGGCACUAUCACAGCAAGUCCGCAUCAUCCUCCAAGUAAGUACUUUUGAUGUCACAGGAAAGGACAUUUUAACCUCUCCCUCCAAAUUAAUGAUAUUAAUAAUAAUCCAACAAAACAAAAACUUUAACAUGAUUGGUUCCAUGAAUAGACUCAGUGCCCAACAGAAUAUUUAUUAUCACUCCCUCUUCCAUUGCUGAUUGCUGCUAACUAUACAAAGUCAUAACCUUGACUGUUCUUGCUCAUUAUCAUUUUCAUAAAUUCCAAAAGAACUAUUUGGUUCUUUUUUUCAUAAAAAUAACCAUUAGUCUCUAGCUAAAGCCUUUGUUGGAAGAGGAAAGUUGAUGGAAAUGUUCCUUUGUUAUUGUUAUUUUAAUUUUGACCUGCCUAGAAAGUCAAGAAGGCAGUUCAUUGGCUCCUAAGAAAUUUUUUCUUAAUGACAUUGGGAACAGGAUGGAAAGUGAAGUGUGAUUUCUUGACUACCAAAACACAUCUUUUGAACCUAUCACAUUAAGAUUCUUCGAAAAAAUUAUUUUUGGCUUGGCCUAUGGAAAUUCAGAUAUUUGGUGACAGAAAGCUGUGCAUUAUAGAACUGGAGUAAAUAGACACUAGGUAUGGGAGAAGCUGUUUUCCAGAAGCCUCAACUAGGUUAAGACAGCUAAUAUGUGUAGACAAAAAAAAAGUCAUUUUAUUUCUUCUUACAAGUUUUUUUCCUUACCAUCCCUAAAGCUUAUCCAACAGAUGUUGUUCUGUGUACCUCUUAAGUUCUGGUUUUUAGAGUUCCUAAUGUGACAUGGAGAUAAAGCUUAGAAUACUUAGUUUAGCUUUUGCAUUAUCCUCUGAUGGGAUAUUCCCUUCUGUUUUCUUUGUUGUGUGCAUGAAAUACCUAAAAGACUAGAAAAAUUCAUAAUUUUUUUUUUAACAAAGGGUAAUAGACAUAGAUGUAUCAGUAGAAGGAGGGAGGGCUUAGAACAAAUUUGUGCAAUUUGAGGAAAGAGACCAUACUACAGAAAGUUUCCAGUUAGAAUCCUUCAAAAAGAAAAUUUUCAGAAUAGUUCAACAUAGCCAUUUAAAUGUUCUGUUGCUGUACUGCAAACAUCAAUCUUCAGAUUUUGCUGGACUCUUUCAGCACCUUCAUACUUUUUCUACUACCCUUAAAAUAAUUUAUUUCCAUUUUCUGGGGAUCCAUAUCCAUAGAAUACCUGCCAAACAGAUGACUUCUAUAUUUCAUCUUUGAAAUAAAGAAAUCCCAGUCCUAAACUUUUAGAUAUUGCUAAAUUUUUUUAGAAUGAUUUAUUUAACAACAUUCUGUUUGGGCAGCCAGUAAAAUUUCCAUUCUUUUCCUUCCUCUUUUCUACCCUUCCCACCCUCCAACAUUAGACAAGGUUUACUUAGUUCUUCUCAAAAUAAACUGUUCAUAACACUUAUUUGCAGUGUUUAUUGCACCAUUCCCUUCACUGUCCUUUUAAAGAAAUACUUCUUCACUACAUGCGUGGCCUUCCUCUUUGGUUAGCCUGAUCUAUGGUUCUAUCAUGGGGCAGAGGGGAACAUGCUCAGGCUCAUGGGGCAUCAACAAAAUGGGCAAGCUUGCCUUUCAGGUUAACAGAUUGCUCUUCUCUGCCCCACUGGAAUGUGUAUUGGGAAAUUGGCUUUGUGGAACAGCCCAAGAUUGGGAUUUUCAAUUUGACAUUGUUUAGCUCCCUAUAGCCUACCUCAGCCUUUAGGGAAUGCUUCAUUGGGGAAAAAAAAGGACUUAGGAAAUCUUGAAAUCACUUUCACUUUGAAUGCCUUUCCUUACCAUAACAGAGUGUACUUGAAAAACAUGGGGCCAUGUCACUGAGGUUCUCUCUUGGAGUCUGAUCAACUGGAAGUUAAGAUUCUACAGAUCAAUCUUUCAACCUGCCCAGAAUCAAGCACAAUGAAAACAGUCCAUUAUCUUUGUGACACAAUUCCACUUUCUUAACUUGCUCCCAUUUUCUCUUACUGCUUUCAUUCUCAUGUCCCUAUUCUUUCUUCCUUUCCUGGCACAAUUACAUUUCAGUAGUGCAAUGCAGUGCAGUCAUGCUUAGUGCAAAAAUAAAACACUCUAUCCCAGACCAAAAGCACAGCCCCAAAGAGCUCUUACUCAAGGAUACCAGUGCCAACAAAGGAUGGAGAUUCAGUUUUCACCCAAUAUGUUUUGGGUUUCUCUUUCAUGGCCCUGUCUGUUUCUAUUCAAACGAGAAUAGUAAUAGCUAAUGUACAUCAAUUGUCCUAUUCUCUAAUAUAUUAAAACCCAUGGGUAGAAAGAAAAGGGAAGCAGUCAAGUUGAAACCAGGGGUGCUAAAGGGAAACAGACAUGAACACAAAGCUCAGUAGUGGUUUUAUGCAAUGAUUUUCAUCAUGUCAAAUGGCUCCCAUACAGAGGAGCAUAAGCACAGAAAAAAAGAUAAAGCUCUCCUGUUCCCCAAAACAGCUCUAAACUUAAUAGUGACAGUUCUGAUCUGAUUUUUGAAUAGUGCAAUCAAUUCUUCCUCAAUGGCAACAUACAGCAGCCAUCCUACAUAACACAGAUAAAUACAUCAAGUCAUCUUAUCUCUCUUGAUCAUUCUCCCAUUCUAUUCCCCCUCUUAGUUUCUUCUCUACUCAGUUUUUUUCUUUCUGUCUUUCUACACAAGCAUAGAUACACACACACACACACACACACACACACACACACACACACAGAUUCUCAAGGCCUCUUUUCUGGGUAACAGUUUGAAGCUUGUUAUAAGCAGUUCAAUGUUACCAAAAUAAAAUCACAAGGAAAAAAAAAAGAAUGACAAUUAAAUAUCAGAUUAGAUUAUUAAAUUAAAAUCAAUCUGCAGUGCACAACUUUUUUUGUGUGUGUGUGAAAAACAUUCAUAUUAGGACAUCUUCUAGGGCUCACCUAAGUAAGCAUUAGCUUGGAUAGGGGUAAGGGAUGUGGAAUAUUCAAUGAUUUUGGAGAAUAGUUUUAUAAUUAAUAGCCUUUAAUAGUCCAUUUCCGAAAUCCCACAGUAAAAAUAUAAGUUUUCUAGGCAUUCUGAUGUUCAAAUGCCCAGUGCCUAGCAUAGUGUCUCUCACAAGUAGUAGGUUAACAAGAUUGUUGACUGAUAAACUAAAUAUUUCAUCGAGAGAUGAAUCUGAAACUGCUAACAUGUGUAUAUAUGUGAAUGUACAUAAGUAUGUGUUGUGAUCUAAUCAAGAAGUUGUCUGCAAGCAGAAUAGUUAUAUGCUACAACAGAAUAUGAUACUAAUUUCUAAAGGACAUGACUUUGAACCACUUUGAAAAUUCAAACUCCUCCAACAAUAAUGCAAAAAGUAAUGUAGGUUAAAUGUACACCAACUGCCUCUUAAUUUUUGUUUCAUCAGUACAUUCAGGGAUGGUUGGGACUGAAAAGAAUAGGAUUAGAGAAGUUGGAACUAUUUUGCCUAAAGGAGCAAAUUGGUAGAUCUGACUCUUUCAUGAAAUUUUAUUCAAGGAAGAGUGCAAUUAGAGAGCUGAUUUUGUUUUCUAACAUCUUUCCAGUUUUUCGAAAAUCUUCAAAACCUUUUACAAUAUACAGCUAAACAUCUUAUCAAAUAUAAGUCACCAACUUAUUUCUCCAUAUGUUGCUCCUGAUGUACAGAUUUCCUAUUAUAGUACAAGGAAGUCAAAACAUUCUUCACAGUCAUUUUCCUUUUUUGAGUUUUGUCAAAAGCUAACUUGAGGUAAUGCUAUUUGUUUCCGAAAAUUUCUCUGGCAUCCCUUGAUAAGAUUGAGGGAGAUAUUUAAUCACAGACACACGAGGUUAUCUCACCCCUAUAAUGCAACACAGACUGUGAAUGUAAAGUGAUGUUUUCUCUCAUGACAAAGAAUUUAGUUACAUCUGAAAAUUGGCACUGAGAAAUCUAUUCAGUUACUUUAUAUUUCUCCUAUUCUCUUGGUUUUUAUGUCACUAGGUUUAUUGAAAUUUCAAUUACUUUAAAAAAGCAAACUUUUUUCAUCUUUGCAUACCUAUAGUCUAGUACACUACCUUGCAAAUAGUCCAUAGUUAAUAAAUAUUGUUGAAUUAAGGUAAUGCUAAAAACCAGAUUAUAAAUUUAUAGAAGAAAAGAUAAACCUGAAGCAACUGAAGUUUUUGAAAAUACAGAAUUCUACUAAAUUAAGGUCAAAUUAUAGACCUGAUGACUGCAUUAAAGUUUCAUUAGGUAGCUUUUUACUUUUUUCUUUUAAUUUUCUGAAUUUCUUGCACCUGAUUUAAUUAGCAAGGAAAUAUUUGAAAUAUAUGUGUAGUGUAUAGAGAACAAAGCCCAGUCUCUCUCCACAAUAACUAUCUACAAUUCUAUGGCCCAGGACCUGUUAUCUGGUUUUUGUCAGGGAAACUUGUUAUUUUUCUUUGCUCAGCCUCAAAUUCUUUCUGAGAAAAUCCUAUUUUUGCCCAGCAGCAAGUGCUAUUACAAAAAGAAGCAAGAGAUUUUUGUUGACAGCUCAACUGUAAAAUGGAAGCUUUAAACCAUUAGGGCAAUAAAUGGCAAAUGACAGGACAUUUCAAUGAGUUCAGUGUCCAUUAUAGUUAGUAUAGAAUUCUCAGAUUUAAAAACUUUUAGUCACUUGAAAAGGGGACAGAGAACAAAAAAAGUAAAGAACUGCACAAAUAUUUGCUGAAGUACAUGGUUCAUCAAUUUUAGAUUCUCUAGGUGGAAAACAAAAAGAAAAAUUAAAGAAACAAAAUUCUACUAUUUUUCUAUAUAAAAGUGAUGUCUGCUGGCCUAGUUACUUUGUUAGUUUCACUUUCUUUGAAGGAACUGCAUUCUGUGCACACAUAAUUCUAAAAAACCAGUAUGAAAAAUAAAUUGGCUUUACAUCAGCCUGUUUUUCAGAUUAUUUUUAAGCUUAUAUUUUCAAGUUCUAAAACUAUAUAUUAGUGAAAUGAACUGCAGGCUUUUUUAAAAAAAUGAACUGUCAAAAAAGCAAGUACAUUAUGAAGGGAAAAGGAAAAAGAAAUCUCAUACUCUACUAAAUAUAAACUAUCUUGUUAAUGAAUAUUUUCUUUCAUUGCUAUACUGUUAAGGCCAAAUGCUUCUGCUACUACCAGUGCAGAUAGCAUCUAGGCAACCAUAAAGUUACAGCCUGAAAUUAUGCCUCUUUCCCACAAUAAAUGUAAUUGAGAUACUAAUUUGAGAACAAAACAGAGAUUGUGAUAAGAAAUCCUGAUCCUUAGUUCAGAGAGACAUGUAUAGACUAAUUCUAUUAACUUACUCUGAAGUAAUUCUUCUAAUUGGCUGUGUCAACAGAGGCCCUAUAAAAACCAAAUCUUCUCUUAUAUAUGUUAGUUUUCAAAACAGAUACUUUUUAAAAAAAAUUUUAGUGAUUGACAGGAAAGCUUUUUUUUUUUUUUUUUUUUUUUUUUUUUUUUUAUUGAUGCGGAAAAAUGCCCUUUGAAAAAGAUAGGUGUUUGGGUUCACAGUAUAAACAUUGUGUAUGGAAGAAGGAGGAAGAUGGGAGAAGGUCUUGAUUUCAUCUUCAUGCUAAGUAAGAGUGGAAGAUUAUAAGGCCACAAAAAUAAGGAAAAUGGUGAAUUAUCUGUUGCUAUGUGGUUCUUUGGAUUGUGGCAGCAAAACUCUUCUAUUUAUCCUCCUUUAUAUCUCUCUGCAGAUAAAGUGUAUAAACUGGUUUGAUAAAAAAUAAAUCUGUCUCAAGCUUCAGACCAAACACAGAAAUACUUAUGAAAUUCAAAGAAGUCUGAUUGCUUGCAAACACCUUUAGCACUUCUUCCAUCCCACUCUUCUUUCUUUUUGGACUUUCUGGUUUUCAUUUGGAAAAAAAAUAUAUAUAGAGCCUCUUAGCCUGUUCAAAAUCAUGCAGUGCAGUCAUACACAUUCACAUGCACAUACAAACAUACACAUAGAGAAAAUCCAUAUGAAAUCUGAGAGUCAGAAAAGCAUAAUUCAGGAAAGAAUCCGGGACUACUCAGAGUAUUCUAAUCCUGUCUCUGGCUCUAAAUAUCUUCUUAUUUUGGGAAGAUCAUUCAAUCUCUCUGAACUUCAGUUUUCCCAUCUGCAAAAAGGGAAGAAACAUCACACUUGUUUCAUGGGAUGUUUGUAGUGAAAAGGAGAUAAUUUUUGCAGAGUGCUUUACAAGCAUCAAAGCACUCUAAAACAUUAACAAUUAUCUAUAAAAAGCACUUUGAAAUGUGUAAAAUGAUAUGUAGAUGGAUCAUGGUUAUGUAGAUCAGAGAGUUGGGGAUCACUGAUGUAAAAACUUAACUUGGAUUAUCAAAUUCUGUAAUAAGGGCCCAGAAUAUGUUCAUUUAUCAGAGUGAGGUGAAUCACAUGACUACUCAAAUUUUCUUAUAUACUAUGACUAUCCGUUUUUGAGUUGGUGUUGAAGCUCACAUCUAGGUGCAAAUUAGGCACUUUGGGAAGCUAUAAGAACUUUUUUGUUUGCCAGUUAAUUGCUGAUCCAGUGUUCAAAAUAAAUCUUUUGUAACAUGAAAGAGUCGUUGUAGCCUCCUAAAAUAUAUUUGAUUACUGAUGGCUUGUUUAGAAAAAGCUUAGACUGAUCAAGAAAAAGACUUAAGACUGAUCAAGAUCAUUUUGGAAUACAAAUCCUUCUAUUACCCUCAUGGAGUUUAACUUGUGGAAACCUAUUAUUUAUGGAAAGUUUCAUUUGGUUAGGGGAAAAGAGCAGGAGCUGAAAUCUGCAAAAAUGAUUAUGACCAUACUAAACAUAAUCACUUUUCUCUCUUAGUAAUGAUCUCGUCAUCUAGUAAACUUGUAUUUUAUUUAAAGAAAAAAAUAAUUUCUUUGCCUUUUUGACUAUGAGGAUUGAAAAAGAAUGAAUGGUCUAAGUUAGCUCAUCUGACAUUUUCAAAUGUGAUCAAGACCCUCCUACUCUUAAAAGAACAUUGAUAAGUUAAAAUCUAAAGACAGAAUGAAAACAAGAUUCACCAAGCCUCCAAUUUUAAGCCUACCUGCUUCUGUAACCUUCUCACCUCAAAGUAGUUUUAGUUUAAUGAAAGUUAAAGGUGGUACAAAAAAUGAACUGGAGUACAGAAAAUAAGCAUUUAGGGUUACUGAUUGACUGAACACUUCAUCAGUAUUAGGAUUUUGUUCUCCCCUAAGUAAAUCAUUCCUAAAGACUGCAGAUGUAAGUUAAGAAGUAACAAUAAGAAAAAAAAAAGAGAUACACAUAGAAUUCUCCCAUUGCCCUAAGUACUUAACACUCUAACCAUCAAAAUUCAGAUGGCAUGAAGAAAGAUGAAAAUAGCUUUAAGAGAGCCACAAAAUGAAACUGAAAAAUUGAAAACUGAAAAGAGGAAAGAACUAGGAUUAUUCUUUCAGAAAGAAAGAGAAGCUGAGGGAAUUUAACAGGUAUGAAAACCAAGCUAAGUUUGACUGCUACUGAAGAUAAAGCACAAGAAUUUGACAUUAAAUGACAUUACAUGAGACCUGAUAUAGCCACAAGAUUUUUCUGACAAUGAAAAUUAUUAGACACUCAACUUGGUUACUGAUGGUGCAAAUCAUGGGGCAUCUUUAAGUAAACCCUUUUUGUUUGGCCAGGUCAUUAGACUACAUGAUUUCUGAAGAUCCUGUUCAGUUUUAAUAUUCUAUAAUAUAUGAUGAUCUCCCUUGUCAUAUGCAAAGAGGAAAUCGUGGGUCAGAUCUGUCAAGAGCUUUUAUUGAUUUUAUUGGAUAUAUGGAUUUUAUGGACUUCAUUCACUAAAAAAUUAUACUAGACUAAUUAGAGCUUUGGACCCAAAUUCAUCUCACCUAUAACUUGGAAAAGUCAUUUAAACCCCUUGCUUCAGUUUUUCUUCAGCAAAUUGAAACUUCAAAUUAUUGUUCUAUUUCAUGGGGAGAUUUUGAAGAACAGUUACUUAAAAUUACUAUGUGCACCUAAAAAUAUAACUCUUUAAAGAACCAUUAUCACAGUCAAUACUUGCAAAUAUUAAUGGGACAACCAGACAAUAACUGAAUUUAUACUUCAUAAAACAGAAGCCUUUUAAAAACAGCUGUUAGUGGGAUAGCUCUUUUUUAUUGGUCAGAUUAUGUAAUGAAUAACUAGUUUCUGGAUUGAAAAAUUUUAAGGAAAAUUAAUGGACAUGAAAGAGAGAGGAGAUAUAGAUAUUUUACAUACAAACACACCCACACCCAAUACACACACACACACACACACACACACACACACACACACACACACUUCUUUUGUUCUUUAGAAACUGAGAGGGUCAGCUCAACAGGAUCUUUCAUGAACAUAAACCCCUUCGGUAUUAGCCUAAUACUAUGUUUCCAAAAGUUUUCACUUUCCUAUGUUUUGCUAAAAUUCUGAUCUUAAAAAAAAUUCUAAAAAUCUGUAUAGACAAUACUGAAGCUGAUAAUAAUAUAAAAAAACCAAACUAGAGCCAGUAACAAUUAUUAAAUGCACCAAAUUAACUGCAGCAGGUUGGUGAUGAAUGAUAAAUAUGAAGAUGUGUUUGUCUAUCAACUCAUGAACAUAGGCAUAUUCAAAAAUUAAAAUGAAUAUACUGUAAUAUAUAUAUUUUGAUAUAGAGUUGUUAUAUAUAAUGUGUAUGUUCUAGGUUUCAGAAAUACUGCAACGUAGUGUACUGUACUUAAGUAAGCAUAGCUAAAUAGUAACUCAUCUUCUUCCACAAAGUCACUAGUACUGUUAAUAAUAAUUAAAAAAAAAAAAAAAACUCUGUUAUAUUUUUUCCAGUAAAAAGAAAUACCUAUGGUUACAGUCACAGACUUCUUCUGGAUAUAGAAAGACAAUAUACAUUUUAACAACAACAAAAAGCUGCAACCAUAUGUAGCCUUAUUUAAUGAGAAAGGGGAAAAGUUGCCAAAAAAAAAAAAAAUAGGAAAGAAAACGCUCUCUGGAUUUGAUAAAACAAAAAUAAUCUACAUGUCAUAAAAAUAAACUAUCUAGUAAGUGAAGAACACAGGAGUGAGAAAAUUGGUACCUACUGCUUCCAGGCCCCAUGCUUUCAAAGUCAACUAGGCAAGAUGGGAUAGUAUAACAAAGCAGGAUGGCAUCCUAUUUGAUAGACUGAAAAAUGCCUGGGCUAUCCAUAUAUACUGCUCUCAGAGAUCACAAAACUGUUCUCCCUGACAGUCCAUUGGUCUAUUAGACACAGUAAACGACUCACUCCUGGAAAGACUUUGGCAAAGGCCACACUGGUUUCAGGAGACACAGCUUGUGGAUUACUACAAUUCAUCACAGAUGCAAGAGACAUCAGUAGGUUUUAGUUUGGGAACAUAACGUGUGUGUGUGUGCGCACACACACACACACACACACACACACACACACUUCACAGGGGAAAGGGACGGGGCAUAUUUUAGACACAGGGUGGCGUGGGCAUGGGUCUUCCCUGCCCAGUGCUCCCUUUCAUGCCUGCAAAGAUGGUGUGCUCCUUGGGGCUGCUCAUUCCUUGCUGGUCUGCCAGCUUAAUACUUCUGUUCCACUUUCCCCCGAAGGAAACAGCCUGUUACUGUGGGUUUUCUGUGGCUCCAACAAGCUGCCUUUGUUUCUCCCAUCUCCCACAGCUUUACAAAAUCCAACAUAAGAACAGGUGAUUGUUUCCUUGGAAAGGACCACAGCACAAAUAUUCACAAUCUGGUGAACAGUGUGUGUGUGUGUGUGUGUGUGGGAGGGUGGGGUGAGCAGAACAGUUCUGCAAGCCUGGAAAGGGCUCUCCACCCCCUGAAGGUACAUUGCCACCAUUUUGUAGCAUCUAGGCUUGUGCCUCUGAAUGCACUACAAUAUGUGCACAUAAAUACACAGAUGACAAGUGUAUACAUGCAUACAUGUGUUGAGAGAGAGAGAGACCCUGGGGAAAUGGAUGAUUUCAGUGAAGUGCCAUUGAACCACUCCACAUAAAAACAUUCAAGUUUCUUAUGAGCAAGUUACAUAUGGAUUGUACUAUAUACUUUCCAUGGUCUGGGCUUCUUCCAAGUACCACAAAGCAUCAUCAGGGACAUUGGACGGCACUGUUGCUACUAGCUAAGGCAAAUGAGCAAAAGCAUUCUUAGAUCUGUGAGACCUUUGCCUCAUAGUUAGAGAUUUCAGAAUAUGUUUGGUUGUUACUAAGGAACAGGAAAGUGGAAUACAGUUUAUCACUAAAAGCACCAUAUAAAGGUAGGGUAUAUGUACCAGGUACUUAAUUAUAAACAUUCCUUGAUAGCAGUUAUGACAUAUUGGAGUGGGUGAAAUCUUUCUUUUGAUUUGGAUCUGCAUAUGAAAUACAAUUACUGUCUUGGGCAAUAAUAAAUUUUCACUCCAGUAAGAAGAGUGAGAUAUGAACUGGGAAGUCAGGAGGCCCAGGCAUAGGCCCUGG
rnacentral:lncRNA from 1 species